rnacentral:rRNA from 1 species
CACGUAGGCGGAUAUUUAAGUCAGGGGUGAAAUCCCAGAGCUCAACUCUGGAACUGCCUUUGAUACUGGGUAUCUUGAGUAUGGAAGAGGUAAGUGGAAUUCCGAGUGUAGAGGUGAAAUUCGUAGAUAUUCGGAGGAACACCAGUGGCGAAGGCGGCUUACUGGUCAUUACUGACGCUGAGGUGCGAAAGCGUGGGGAGCAAACA